CCCUUAGAUGUUCUGGGCUGCACACGUGCUACACUGGCAGGUUCAGCGAGCUUCAUGCCCUGAUCUGAAAGGAAUGGGAAAUCUUUUCAAAACCUGCCGUGCUUGGGAUAGAUGUUUGCAAUUAUUCAUCUUCAACGAGGAUUGCCUUGUAAGCGCACGUCAUCAGCGUGCAUUGAAUACGACCCUGUAUUCUGUACACACCGCCCGUCGCUCCUACCGAGUGAAGUUUUCGGUGAGUUGACAGGAGGAUUUUUUUGAAACUGGUUCGCCAGUGGAUUUUAGAUCCAAAUGCCAACGAAUCGAUGGCUUUAGAGGAAGGAGAAGUCGUAACA
rnacentral:rRNA from 1 species